UGAAAAGUAACCAAACAAAAUGGUAGAAGUU
rnacentral:piRNA from 1 species